rnacentral:rRNA from 1 species
UGCAGUCGAGCGAAUGGAUUAAGAGCUUGCUCUUAUGAAGUUAGCGGCGGACGGGUGAGUAACACGUGGGUAACCUGCCCAUAAGACUGGGAUAACUCCGGGAAACCGGGGCUAAUACCGGAUAACAUUUUGAACCGCAUGGUUCGAAAUUGAAAGGCGGCUUCGGCUGUCACUUAUGGAUGGACCCGCGUCGCAUUAGCUAGUUGGUGAGGUAACGGCUCACCAAGGCAACGAUGCGUAGCCGACCUGAGAGGGUGAUCGGCCACACUGGGACUGAGACACGGCCCAGACUCCUACGGGAGGCAGCAGUAGGGAAUCUUCCGCAAUGGACGAAAGUCUGACGGAGCAACGCCGCGUGAGUGAUGAAGGCUUUCGGGUCGUAAAACUCUGUUGUUAGGGAAGAACAAGUGCUAGUUGAAUAAGCUGGCACCUUGACGGUACCUAACCAGAAAGCCACGGCUAACUACGUGCCAGCAGCCGCGGUAAUACGUAGGUGGCAAGCGUUAUCCGGAAUUAUUGGGCGUA